rnacentral:rRNA from 1 species
UACGGAGGGAGCUAGCGUUGUUCGGAAUUACUGGGCGUAAAGCGCACGUAGGCGGCUUUGUAAGUUAGAGGUGAAAGCCCGGGGCUCAACCCCGGAAUUGCCUUUAAGACUGCAUCGCUUGAAUCCGGGAGAGGUGAGUGGAAUUCCGAGUGUAGAGGUGAAAUUCGUAGAUAUUCGGAAGAACACCAGUGGCGAAGGCGGCUCAGCUGGACCGGUAUGACGCUGAGGUGCGAAAGCGUGGGGA